GCCAUUUUCAAGCACAUAUGGCGGAGGUAAGUCCCCGCUGGUCCCAGCGGGGUCGGCCGCGUUCCGCGCCUCCUCCGUGAGUCCCCGCCAGAACGCCCGUGCGUGUCCUCCCCCCUCCGAUGCAAUGGAUUCCAUGUUUCGUGUUGGUCCGGAGGAGUCCCUCCCGCUGCAGACGGUCCUGCCGUUACAGCCGCCAUCUCCCGUCCAGGUGUGGAAACUCAGCACAUCAUUCCUGAUGUGCAGAGUCACCGAGACAACCCUUGGGGGGCUCGGAAGUCCUGGAACAUUGCCAGAAGUGUUUGGUGGCUAGACUUUGAUCCUGCACAGGACGCAACACCUGUAUGAGGAUGGGAGGAUCACACGGGGAUAAGUGGUGAAGGGACAGAUUAAUUAUAGUGUGAAAACACAGGUUUUGGAAUAUCGGUACAGGGGGGUUCUAGGAGACAAGAUGGAGGAAUUAGGGCGUGUCCUGUCCUUCUUCUUCUUCUUUUUGUCAUCCAUCUUCGAUGGUGAUGGUGGCACUUUGAGAUUGGUUCUUACUGAAUGUGCACUUGUCAAUAAGGGUGAAAGGUAUUGGGGAGAAAAGGUAAAUAUCUUACACGUAGUUUUUGGUAUAAAAAUAAGCGACCGCCCCGAGGGCAGUCAGUGUGCUCAUGGCUGGCUUGCUGGACGGACCUCUGUUGGGCCAAUAGAAAAUAUUGUAGAUAAGAAGUAAUAAACAACACUGAAGAACU